GGGACUCUGCAUUGUAUAAUGAACUGUCGAAACAAGUUUAAAAACAGUGAAGAAUAUGGAGGAACUUUGUAUAAAUUAUAUUAACUUUAAACUGGAUAUUUCAGCAGCUAGCGGAGUGUUGAUGGAGAAACUGAAAAUUGAGCAAGCAUAACUUACAAGAACUCAAAAAUUGAUGUCUCAUUCCCUGACGGGAUGGUGAGAGAGGACAACUCUCCUUUUGGUUGGAUCUUUUGAAUCUUCAGAAGUAUAGGUCACCAUCUGAUUUGUCCAAGCCAGCACCGUCAAGAAGAGGAGCCAAGUUGGAUCACCCAGCAGAAAUUGGAUAAAAUGGUCCAUCUCCUUCAGCACAUUGCUUUCUCAAAGCUGAAGACACCUGGAAGAGAGAAGACUGAGGUCCUCGGCCAGCCACCUUUGAGUCCUCCUGGUGACACUUACAAUAUUUAUCUUGGAUAGGAACUUUCAAAUGUCUCUUUUUAUUUUCCAGCAAUUUGGGUUGCCCAUUAGCCCACUGGGAAAAGACUAUAGUUGUGUCUGUCCUUCACUCCACCGGUUUUUGCAGUGUCAGCUCCUGCUCUGAAUGAUAACUGAGCUGAAAGCUGAUGGAUGAACAAGAUCUCAUGAUAAGCAACACACAGACUUCCUCUCAGGUGAUAACCCAUAUCAGCGAAUUGAUUAGUUCCUGAAACUGAGUACCUAAUUAGCAAGGAAAUGGAGCAUUGGAGAGAGAACUUCCCUCGUGAAUCACUUUCGGCGUUUAAUCUCUGAUGGUAAUUGGUCUUGAUCACCAUGAGAGCAGAGGAUCCAAUCUCACAAUGGUACGUUGUGGAGAAGGGCAUCAGGAACUUGACCGCCCAUUGUGACAGGUUCAGGGGUUACAUUGCGACAGGCUCCACAGUCCAGUGGGAAUCAAGCUGGUUAUUGAUCUAAUAGCAUACCUGCAAAUGCGGCCUUUGAAUGACUGGCAACCUUCUUCUGCAGCAUGUGUAUAUUGACAGUUGUUGGGUCUGCUACAGUCAUCCUGCCAAUGUCCUCGUCUUCAUUGGAUGUCCUCAGUUACUGCAUGUGCUGCUCCAUUUUCCUUCCCGGGGUAAGCUGCAGCAUUGGGACACAAAGUGCUUCUGUUUCCCACAACCCUGGCCCUGCUACCCAUAGACUGGGCAUUUUUCUUUCUGCCUUUCUUUGUGUUUUUUUGUGGUACUUAUCAGGGUGCUGGAACGAGGGGGCCAUGGCCCCCCACCUUUAAAAGUGGAAGGGCUAUGCCCAAGGUCUGUGGGGGGCAGCAGCAGGCUUGGGGGGCAGAGGGAAACUGCCCCCCAGCAUGAGCCGGUGGAGCGGAGUGGGUUGGGGCCAGGUCGCUCCACUUCCUGCUGUCUAGUGAUUGUUGCGCGGGCCCGAUCCCACACUCGGAGCGGCAGGAAGUGGAGUGACCCGGCCCCAACCCACUCCGCUCUGCUCCCCUGGCUCCCAGCUUUGGGACUUGGGGGGUAGGGGAGAACCACCCCCAGCACUUACCAGCGGCGUGACUAGGAGCCAGCAGAGCAGAGCGGGCUGGGGCUGGGUCGCUCCAUUUCCCGCCGCCUGGUGAGUGCAGGGUGUGCCCAACCCCUACUGCA